rnacentral:rRNA from 1 species
UGCGUAGGUGGUUGUUUAAGUCUGUCGUGAAAGCCCUGGGCUCAACCUGGGAAUUGCGGUGGAAACUGGACGACUAGAGUGUGGCAGAGGGUAGUGGAAUUCCUGGUGUAGCAGUGAAAUGCGUAGAGAUCAGGAGGAACAUCCGUGGCGAAGGCGACUGCCUGGGCCAACACUGACACUGAGGCACGAAAGCGUGGGGAGCAAACAG